rnacentral:rRNA from 1 species
GAUGAACGCUGGCGGCGUGCCUAAUACAUGCAAGUCGAGCGAACGGACGAGAAGCUUGCUUCUCUGAUGUUAGCGGCGGACGGGUGAGUAACACGUGGAUAACCUACCUAUAAGACUGGGAUAACUUCGGGAAACCGGAGCUAAUACCGGAUGAUAUUUUGAACCGCAUGGUUCAAAAGUGAAAGACGGUCUUGCUGUCACUUAUAGAUGGAUCCUCGCUGCAUUAGCUAGUUGGUAAGGUAACGGCUUACCAAGGCAACGAUGCAUAGCCGACCUGAGAGGGUGAUCGGCCACACUGGAACUGAGACACGGUCCAGACUCCUACGGGAGGCAGCAGUAGGGAAUCUUCCGCAAUGGGCGAAAGCCUGACGGAGCAACGCCGCGUGAGUGAUGAAGGUCUUCGGAUCGUAAAACUCUGUUAUUAGGGAGGAACAUAUGUGUAAGUAACUGUGCACAUCUUGACGGUACCUAAUCAGAAAGCCACGGCUAACUACGUG